GUCUCCUGAGGAAUGGCAAGCUUUAUAUGAAGAUUUAGGUUUCUUGGUGGAGAAUCCUAUGAGAAAAGGAAAAGGGACUAGUCAUCAAGCGUAGAGGAGCGGGGGGAUUUGUUGCUGUUUUUAAGCAGCGGACUCCCUGAGGCUGCAGACAGCUGUUGACAGCUGGAAGGGAAAGAUGGAGAGGAGGCCGCAACCAGGAGGCAGAGCGGAUAUUUUCCUAGAAGAAAUUUCUGGAUAUGUUCCAAAGCUUCUUGUUGAGACUUGCAUUUUAUAACUAUCAGACUGGCAACUAUGUGAAAGAUGGACUAGUGAGGGAAGAGACUUGCUAUGUCAAUGGGAAGACCCAUUAGGAGGCUAUUGCAAUGAUACAGCUUGCCAACUGUAACCAUUCACUGUUGUCUGGGUCAUCAUGUCCAGCUCUUCCAGGAUAAUUCCUCCAACACAGUUUUUUGACAGCGAGCGUAUGACCUUGGCUACAAUAAAGAUAAAAAAGUCAUGACACAAAAAUGUAUCCUUGAAAACUAUAACAGUAAAAUAAAUUUGGAUUUCACCUCAAUAUGCACCAUUCAAUUUAUGAUAAAAAAAAUUAUGACCUUUUAAUCCAAAUAUCCUACUACUAAACCUACACUCCAAAGAGGUAAAAAGAAAAAGGCCCCAAGUAAUAAGAGAAGCCAUGAAAAAACGAAUUCUCAUACUUAAACAAGGUAGGAGACCUUGUGUGAUAAGCAAAAAUAUCCCCAAAUUUUCCCCCAUUCUCCUUCUCUCCUAGGCUCUGGUAUCUAGGAUAAAUCCUACUUCUAUCUAUCAAUAGUCUGAAUGAUGGGAGAAAAGAGUACAUUUUGGGAAUGGAAUAUAUCAUGUUUUUGAAAAAAGAAGAAAAAUUUCGCCAUUUCUCUGCACCUGGGUCUCUACAUGUGUCUUUCCAAGUAAAAGCUGGAUAUAGUUUAUUACAAAAAACACACUAACUUUUGUUCAACUCUAAAAGGAAACAAAUAUUAUUUGUGGGGAGUGGGACAUGAAAAUACCUCUGAUUUGUUUCUAUGCAUUUGGUCCAAUCUGAUGAUAAUGGUUUCUGGAGAGUCUUCUCCCAUGUAUACAAAUCGAUCCUUCCACACUCUAAUCCUAAUGCAACAAUAUAUCUUUAAAGAAAAAAAAAAAAAA